AUAACAACAGAAACAGCAGCAUCUCGAAUCAUCACUCAGAAUAACUGAGUUUGGAGAGAAAGAGAGGAGGAUGGGUGUGGGCCAUGACAGAACUGUGAGCUGAGGAGUGGAGGAGGACAGGAGGAGAGGAAGAGGAGAAGGAGAGGAAGAGGAGGACUGAAUAGCAGAGAACAGUGAUGGGGAACACAGCCACUAAGUUCCGGAAGGCUCUAGUCAGCGGAGGCGUUGGCAUGGCAACUGUACGAGGGCAACAGCCAGGCCAGGGAGGGGCUGGACCCCAACGCGUCCUACGGAGAGACCUACCAACACAACACACCCCUCCACUACACCUGCAGGCAC